rnacentral:rRNA from 1 species
UACGUAGGGUGCGAGCGUUGUCCGGAAUUAUUGGGCGUAAAGAGCUCGUAGGCGGUGUGUCACGUCGUUCGUGAAAACCUGCAGCUUAACUGUGGGCGUGCGGUCGAUACGGGCAUCACUGGAGUUCGGCAGGGGAGACUGGAAUUCCUGGUGUAGCGGUGAAAUGCGCAGAUAUCAGGAGGAACACCGGUGGCGAAGGCGGCUACCUGGACAGAAACUGACGCUGAGGCGCGAAAGCUAGGGGAGCAAACAGG